UACGUAGGGUGCAAGCGUUAAUCGGAAUUACUGGGCGUAAAGCGUGCGCAGGCGGUUAUGUAAGACAGGUGUGAAAUCCCCGGGCUUAACCUGGGAACUGCAUUUGUGACUGCAUAGCUAGAGUACGGUAGAGGGGAUGGAAUUCCGCGUGUAGCAGUGAAAUGCGUAGAUAUGUGGAGGAACACCGAUGGCGAAGGCAGCCCCUGGGUUAACACUGACGCUCAGGCACGAAAGCGUGGGAGCAAACAGG
rnacentral:rRNA from 1 species